UUUCCGUAAGUGAACCUGCGGAAGGAUCAUUAUUGUAUAACCGAGGUGCGAGGGCUGUCGCUGACCCGAAAGGUCGUGCACGCCCGAGUGCCCUCACACACAUCCAUCUCACCCCUAUGUGCACCACCGCGUGGGUCCCCCUUUGGCUUGUUCGGAGGGGGGCUUACGUUUUCACACAAACUUUGUAUGCAGUGUAGAAUGUAUUUUUUGUUUUUGCGAUCACGCAAUCAAUACAACUUUCAACAACGGAUCUCUUGGCUCUC
rnacentral:misc_RNA from 1 species